UUAAGCGACUAAGCGUACACGGUGGAUGCCCUGGCAGUCAGAGGCGAUGAAGGACGUGCUAAUCUGCGAAAAGCGUCGGUAAGGUGAUAUGAACCGUUAUAACCGGCGAUGUCCGAAUGGGGAAACCCAGUGCAAUUCGUUGCACUAUCGUUAACUGAAUACAUAGGUUAACGAGGCGAACCGGGGGAACUGAAACAUCUAAGUACCCCGAGGAAAAGAAAUCAACCGAGAUUCCCCCAGUAGCGGCGAGCGAACGGGGAGCAGCCCAGAGUCUGAAUCAGCUUGUGUGUUAGUGGAACGGUCUGGAAAGUCCGACGGUACAGGGUGAUAGUCCCGUACACCAAAAUGCACAGGUUGUGAACUCGAAGAGUAGGGCGGGACACGUGGUAUCCUGUCUGAAUAUGGGGGGACCAUCCUCCAAGGCUAAAUACUCCUGACUGACCGAUAGUGAACCAGUACCGUGAGGGAAAGGCGAAAAGAACCCCGGCGAGGGGAGUGAAAAAGAACCUGAAACCGUGUACGUACAAGCAGUGGGAGCACCUUCGGGUGUGACUGCGUACCUUUUGUAUAAUGGGUCAGCGACUUAUAUUCUGUAGCAAGGUUAACCGUAUAGGGGAGCCGCAGGGAAACCGAGUCUUAACUGGGCGUUAAGUUGCAGGGUAUAGACCCGAAACCCGGUGAUCUAGCCAUGGGCAGGUUGAAGGUUGGGUAACACUAACUGGAGGACCGAACCGACUAAUGUUGAAAAAUUAGCGGAUGACUUGUGGCUGGGGGUGAAAGGCCAAUCAAACCGGGAGAUAGCUGGUUCUCCCCGAAAGCUAUUUAGGUAGCGCCUCGUGAACUCAUCUUCGGGGGUAGAGCACUGUUUCGGCUAGGGGGUCAUCCCGACUUACCAACCCGAUGCAAACUACGAAUACCGAAGAAUGUUAUCACGGGAGACACACGGCGGGUGCUAACGUCCGUCGUGAAGAGGGAAACAACCCAGACCGCCAGCUAAGGUCCCAAAGUCAUGGUUAAGUGGGAAACGAUGUGGGAAGGCACAGACAGCCAGGAUGUUGGCUUAGAAGCAGCCAUCAUUUAAAGAAAGCGUAAUAGCUCACUGGUCGAGUCGGCCUGCGCGGAAGAUGUAACGGGGCUAAACCAUGCACCGAAGCUGCGGCAGCGACACUAUGUGUUGUUGGGUAGGGGAGCGUUCUGUAAGCCUGCGAAGGUGACCUGUGAGGGUUGCUGGAGGUAUCAGAAGUGCGAAUGCUGACAUAAGUAACGAUAAAGCGGGUGAAAAGCCCGCUCGCCGGAAGACCAAGGGUUCCUGUCCAACGUUAAUCGGGGCAGGGUGAGUCGACCCCUAAGGCGAGGCCGAAAGGCGUAGUCGAUGGGAAACAGGUUAAUAUUCCUGUACUUGGUGUUACUGCGAAGGGGGGACGGAGAAGGCUAUGUUAGCCGGGCGACGGUUGUCCCGGUUUAAGCAUGUAGGCUGAUUGUCCAGGCAAAUCCGGAUAAUCAAGGCUGAGGUGUGAUGACGAGGCACUACGGUGCUGAAGUAACAAAUGCCCUGCUUCCAGGAAAAGCCUCUAAGCAUCAGGUAACAUCAAAUCGUACCCCAAACCGACACAGGUGGUCAGGUAGAGAAUACCAAGGCGCUUGAGAGAACUCGGGUGAAGGAACUAGGCAAAAUGGUGCCGUAACUUCGGGAGAAGGCACGCUGGUGUGUAGGUGAAGUCCCUGCGGAUGGAGCUGAGACCAGUCGAAGAUACCAGCUGGCUGCAACUGUUUAUUAAAAACACAGCACUGUGCAAACACGAAAGUGGACGUAUACGGUGUGACGCCUGCCCGGUGCCGGAAGGUUAAUUGAUGGGGUUAUCCGUAAGGAGAAGCUCUUGAUCGAAGCCCCGGUAAACGGCGGCCGUAACUAUAACGGUCCUAAGGUAGCGAAAUUCCUUGUCGGGUAAGUUCCGACCUGCACGAAUGGCGUAAUGAUGGCCAGGCUGUCUCCACCCGAGACUCAGUGAAAUUGAACUCGCUGUGAAGAUGCAGUGUACCCGCGGCAAGACGGAAAGACCCCGUGAACCUUUACUAUAGCUUGACACUGAACAUUGAGCCUUGAUGUGUAGGAUAGGUGGGAGGCUUUGAAGCGUGGACGCCAGUCUGCGUGGAGCCAACCUUGAAAUACCACCCUUUAAUGUUUGAUGUUCUAACGUUGGCCCCUUACCGGGGUUGCGGACAGUGUCUGGUGGGUAGUUUGACUGGGGCGGUCUCCUCCCAAAGCGUAACGGAGGAGCACGAAGGUUAGCUAAUCCUGGUCGGACAUCAGGAGGUUAGUGCAAUGGCAUAAGCUAGCUUGACUGCGAGCGUGACGGCGCGAGCAGGUGCGAAAGCAGGUCAUAGUGAUCCGGUGGUUCUGAAUGGAAGGGCCAUCGCUCAACGGAUAAAAGGUACUCCGGGGAUAACAGGCUGAUACCGCCCAAGAGUUCAUAUCGACGGCGGUGUUUGGCACCUCGAUGUCGGCUCAUCACAUCCUGGGGCUGAAGUAGGUCCCAAGGGUAUGGCUGUUCGCCAUUUAAAGUGGUACGCGAGCUGGGUUUAGAACGUCGUGAGACAGUUCGGUCCCUAUCUGCCGUGGGCGCUGGAGAAUUGAGGGGGGCUGCUCCUAGUACGAGAGGACCGGAGUGGACGCAUCACUGGUGUUCGGGUUGUCAUGCCAAUGGCACUGCCCGGUAGCUAAAUGCGGAAGAGAUAAGUGCUGAAAGCAUCUAAGCACGAAACUUGCCCCGAGAUGAGUUCUCCCUGAGACUUUAAGUCUCCUGAAGGAACGUUAAAGACGAUGACGUUGAUAGGCCGGGUGUGUAAGCGCAGCGAUGCGUUGAGCUAACCGGUACUAAUGAACCGUGAGGCUUAACCUU
rnacentral:rRNA from 1 species